GGCGGCCGGGCGAGCGGCAUAGAGCACGGCGAGCGCACGGCGCGGCUGCCGGCCCGCGCCCUUAACCCUUCUAUGCACCCGGACUGGAGCAGCGCUCGCUUCAGGGGAGACCGGGUGUCUCUCCGCAACUGUGGCUCCGGAUCCCGGACACCGACCGGAGGGGACUGAGCCUUCCAGCCUGGACAAGCUGACGACCUCCUGGCCCUCCUUUCAAAUUCUGCUGAUCUCGAAAUCUGCUGUGAGCAUCGAACGUCUCAGCUCUAGCCCUGGUAACCGACCUGCUCACUCCUUGCAGCUAACUGUGGAUCAUUCAUUUCAUCGCAAGUGAGGUAACCUGUGCACUGAGCUGUCGAUGGCGGUUCUCGGGAGUCCAAGGCGAAGGAACACCCCCCCCCACACACACACACACCUUGUCCUGGUGGCCAAACCCACCCGCCCCCUCAGGCUACACCUCAGCCAGGUGUGAGCUCCGUGGGAAGGAAUCUUCUCUGGAGGAAUGCACCUUGCCAACAGGUGUGGCACCCGAAAGAAGAGCGGGCACAUCCCCACGAGGGUCGCUCAGUGCCGCGUUCUCUUUGCUGCAGAUAAUUCUCGAAGACCACUAGGUGUCAGGCCAGCAUCUGACCUCUUUCAGGUGCUUAGAACUAAGAGUCUGGAAACUCAAUCCCUUGGUCCCGCUGGAAGCCACUACUAUUGACUGUAAGCCUGAUUUGAGAGACCUUUUGGCUCCGUUUGCUUAUGACUUAACAGUUAGUCACUGUCUGAAGCAGCGUACAGAAUCACCAAGAGAAAUGUGUGUGCGUUUAAACUACAGUAUUGUGGAGCCCGCACUUCAGAAGUUAAAAAAGGGGGGAAAAAAAGAUGCAGCGGGUGUGUGUGUGUGUGUGUGUGUGUGUGUGUGUGUGUGGUGUGGGGCACAUUAUCUAUUCUCAGGUUUUGAAAUACCGUGCACACAUCCACGGUUGCUUAAAUAGAACUACAACUGUUCCCUCUCACCCCCACCCCCACUCUCCAUAACUGUGUUGUUCACUUGAAGAUCCGUGAUUGUUAGACUUCAUAUGCUAAAGUGACAUUGUUGGUCUCAUUACAGCCUCUAGUGGACGGCUAUCGUGAGUUUCCUGUCGAGGCUCUGUCUAGUUUUGUUUUCCCUUCUGAGCUUUAUCCAGGUGAAGGUUAAUAGUUCAGAGCUUAACUGCCUGGUGUCUUUUUGCUCCCUCCUGGUAGAGCUGCCUUUGAAACGGAGCAGAAGCUUGCUGGCUGCAUGUGGGAAAGGCUUAUGCUUUGUGCUACAGGUAUUGUUACUGCUGGCCUGUGAAAGUGACAAAGCUUCUGUUAUUCGCUUCAGUUGCAGACAGCUUUCAUAAAAAAAAAAAAAAAAAAAAAAAAAACCACACACACACACACACAAAUUUAAUCUAAAAUAUUUUUAUAACAGAAAAUAUUGGUUGCCAUGUUUUUGGCGUAACUGAGAUGUUUUUAUUCCAGCUCAUAAUCUGCAAACUGUCCAAUCCACCUCCACUCUAUUUUUAGACAUCUUACAUUUAGAGAAUUUUCAAGGGAAAAAAAACCUAAUAUUGUAAUUAUUACGUUGGUGCGAGCAGUUAAUUUGCAUUAUUUUAACAACCUUAAACAUAUUAAAACACAUAAUUCAUAUUAGACUUAGUCAAUUAAUUUAAAUGUCCCCUGAAGAAAGCUAAAUAUGUACAUUAUCCACACAGUAAAAAUAAUUAAUAAGAAAUGUGUUGUUUACUUUCCUAGACAUUAAGAUUAAAGCCAUAAACUGCCACACACACACACACACACACACACACACACACACCCUACAGCUAUUGCUUCCUGCAAGGUCCAGCACAAACAUAAUACUCAUCAAGCAAUUUCAUUACUCGAGUACUGGGCUGUUUUGUUUCCUGAAGACAAAAUGUCAAAGGCACCAUCCAAGAAGUAACAAGAGAGGUUUUUUAAAAGCAAAAGUUCUCAUGCAAAUAAAACCUCAAUGGAAAGAGAACAUGUUUUCAAGGUGACAGUUGUAUAGCACUGGUCCCUAACCCCAAAUCUGAUAUUAUAUUUGUAAAGACUCGGUCAAGCUUUGUAAUGAAGUAAAAUUGAGGAAGGAGUCUCCCUUGAGCCUUACUCCUAAUGUAUGUUAUGUAUUAUUUAAUAUAAAAAGAAAUGUUAGUACCUUCUAUUUAUUUUAAAGAUAUAUUAAAGAUAUAUCUUAAAUAUAUUAAUAUAUAAGAUGUAUUAAUAUAUAUUAAAUAUAUAUUUAAAAUAAGUAGAAAGUACAUAGAAGGUACUAACCUCUAUGUGUAUGUGAGAGAGAUAGAGAGAGAAAGAGAGAGAGAAAAGGGAGAGAGAGAGAGGAUGUUCCUCUUAUUACUUUCUGAUUAUUUCUUUGAGACAAUGUCUCUACCUGAACUUAAGGGGCCAUAUUUUCUAAACUAGGCUGGAAAUCAAGAGACUUAGCCUUUUUUCCUCCCGUCUCUUCCCCCUCCAAGCUGAGGUUACAGGUCUGUGGGAUGCCCAGCUGAGGUUACAGGUCCGUGGGAUGCCCAGCUUUAAGCAGUGAUGAGGUCCUUGUUCAGGAUCUCCAUAUCCUACAACAAGCACUCUCAAGUCUCAAGCUGUGUCUCCACCCCACCUUCUCUCUGUUUUACUGAUUUUUUCCUGUCUACUCUUGAAAGAUUAAAAUGGUCUAGCAACUAUUUUUUAGGUCACAAGACUCUUCUGUCACACUUCUGCAUUUACAAGUGUGGUAGUUAAUGUAGCAGCAGCAGCUGCAGCACCACCAUCCGGGGGAUUUUAGACUCUCAGAGGCAAGGAUCCUAUCCAGCACUAGACAGGCAGAGUCUGCCUUUGAACUAGCUGCUGAGGACUGGCCCAUCCCAGCAUGAAGAACACUGGCCUAUUCUUUGGGACAUAUGGCCCCACGUAUAGAACUUUAAGUCUCCAAUGAAUUGUCUUUAUACUAAUUAAUUUUACCAAUAGAAAAUUAAAAGCACAUUGCACUUGAAUCUCUACAUUCUCAAAUUUAAUCAGCUUCUGGUAGAAAAAAAAAUACACAUAUAUAUUUUAAAAAGUUGUCUGGGCUGAAUACCUGAGACUUUCCCCUCAUCAUUAUUUCAAGCACAAUAUGGAAUGGUGAGUGUUUCCCUUGCACUAGGUGUCAUGAGUAAUCUAGAGAUUACUGAUAACUUAAAGUUAUGAUGUGAACUUAAAUUACUUAUAAUGUAAAGCAUGUAAGAGGAUGUGAGUAUUCUGUGUCCAGAUACUAUGCUUGUGCAGUCUAAGAUUUGGUUGUCUCAGGGGGACUCUAAAACUAGCCCUCAUAUUUGAGGGGUGAUCAUAUAUACACAUGAAGGAAAUAAUACUCCAUCCCUGAAGAGUCUUGUUUCACCAAUUAUGGAAGCUGCAGAGGACUGAGUGUACUGGGGUCUUGGCUAGGAAUGUGUUCUCGGAGGCAGUAGAGGGAGCACAAGAGUGCUUAAUACAACCAGUGUACACAGGGCCCUCUAAAUUGUGACAGAUUUUAAAUUAUAGUAUAUGUUUGCAUUGGAAGUAGCCUGUUAUGUCAUUCAGAACCAAACCAAACAAAACAAAAAAGAAGCUAACAAACAUUCAGUGCCUACCAGAUUAUAGCAACUAAAUAAUUGAACAGAUUGCAAAUUACAUAAAAUAAAAGAUACACUCAUC